GUGCCAGCAGCCGCGGUAAUACGUAGGGGGCAAGCGUUGUCCGGAAUCAUUGGGCGUAAAGCGCGUGUAGGCGGCCCGAUAAGUCCGCUGUGAAAGUCCAGGGCUCAACCCUGGAAAGCCGGUGGAUACUGUCGGGCUAGAGUCCGGAAGAGGCGAGUGGAAUUCCUGGUGUAGCGGUGGAAUGCGCAGAUAUCAGGAGGAACACCAACGGCGAAGGCAGCUCGCUGGGACGGUACUGACGCUAAGACGCGAAAGCGUGGGGAGCGAACAGGAUUAGAUACCCUUGUAGUCC
rnacentral:rRNA from 1 species